rnacentral:rRNA from 1 species
GACGAACGCUGGCGGCGUGCCUAAUACAUGCAAGUCGAGCGGACAGAAGGGAGCCUGCUCCCGGAAGUCAGCGGCGGACGGGUGAGUAACACGUGGGCAACCUGCCCUGCAGAUUGGGAUAACUCCGGGAAACCGGGGCUAAUACCGAAUAACAUUGGAAACCUCAUGGUUUCCUUUUAAAAGGCGGCUUCGGCUGUCACUGCAGGAUGGGCCCGCGGCGCAUUAGCUAGUUGGUGAGGUAACGGCUCACCAAGGCGACGAUGCGUAGCCGACCUGGGAGGGUGAUCGGCCACACUGGGACUGAGACACGGCUCAGACUCCUACGGGAGGUAGCAGUAGGGAAUCUUCCGCAAUGGACGAAAGUCUGACGGAGCAACGCCGCGUGAGUGAAGAAGGUUUUCGGAUCGUAAAACUCUGUUGUCAGAGAAGAACAAGUACGGUAGUAACUGCCCGUACCUUGACGGUACCUGGCCAGAAAGCCACGGCUAACUACGUGCCAGCCGCCGCAGUAAAAC